rnacentral:lncRNA from 1 species
CACGUCCUCCCAUAUGCCCGCCAUAGGAUGGCUGCGGCAUUCCACCCCCUCUAGGGCGUGGACCACCACGUCCCUGAUAGUCACGCUGUUGAUAUUCAGGUGGACCGCCACCUGGAUGUCCACGGCCCUGAGGGUCGCGCGGUUGAUAUUCAGGUGGACCACCACCUGGAUGUCCACGGCCCUGAGGGCCGCGCGGUUGAUAUUCAGGUGGAGCACCACCAGGAUGUCCACGGCCCUGAGGGCCGCGCGGUUGAUAUUCAGGUGGAGCACCACCAGGAUGUCCACGGCCCUGAGGGCCGCGCGGUUGAUAUUCAGGUGGAGCACCACCUGGAUGUCCACGGCCCUGAGGGUCGCGCGGUUGAUAUUCAGGUGGCCCACCACCUGGAUGUCCACGGCCCUGAUAGUCGCGCGGUUGAUAUUCAGGUGGACCACCACCUGGAUGUCCACGGCCCUGAUAUUCACGCUGCUGAUAUUCGGGUGGGCCACCUGGACGGUGUGCAGCUGGCCCUCCCUGGCCCUGAU